rnacentral:rRNA from 1 species
CUCGCAUUUUGUCAGUGCUCAGGCAGCUCCCAGUUUUGGCAGGCCGCCAUCCAGCUGCUGCCCGUGCUUCGCAUUGGCACAUCCAUUUCGGUUGGCACUGGGUCCUCGACCCUGUUCUGGUUUGAUAGGUGGCUUGGCGACACCCCCCUAGCCGUGCGUUUCCCAGGGCUCUUCGACAUCGCCGUUGACCCUCGGGUAUCUGUCGAGGUGGCCCUUAUUGACCUAGGACGCCUCGCUUUCCGCCGCCCCUUUGGCCCCCCUGAGGUUGCAGCUUGGGAUGUCCUUCUCCAGGACAUCGCCCUCCUUCCUAUGGACGUCGCCAACACCCCGGACGCCAUCUCCUGGCGUCUGGAACCCUCCGGCUGCUUCUCCACCAAAUCUCUCUACGCGGCCAUCGCCUCGACGGCCCCCGAGCCCUUCAGUUUGAUCUGGGACAUCCGCCUGCCCCUGAAGAUCAGGAUCUUCCUGUGGCAAUGGAUCCGCGGCCGCCUCCCAUCCGGCGUAGAGGUCCUUAAGCGUAAUGGACCUGGAGAUGGGAUGUGCCCCAUGUGCGGCACGGUAGAGGAUGCCAACCACAUCUUCUUCUCGUGCUCCACGGCACAGUUCCUUUGGUCCUGUUUCCGCGAAACGGUUGGGGGCCAGUGGUGCAACACCAACUUCCCUGAUCUGCUUGCGGAAAUUGAGGCUCCCCCCCCCCCCUCGCUAUAG